AUAUGGUAACAGGGGAGCUGGAGUUACUGGCUGAGAGGGACUAUUGUCCGACCCUUAACCUGAUCUGGGUAAUGCCAGCGUAGGGAGCAGAGAUAAGAACACG
rnacentral:ncRNA from 2 species